UUUACGAUCCAUUUCAUAUAAAUCCCUUUUCUUUAUGCAAUAAAUGUGAUAGUCGCUCUCAGUUUUUUGUAAAACUGCAAUUGUUAAUUAAAGUGUGAUAAAUUUACAUUUUUUCUGUAUCGAUUUUUCCCAACUUAUAUUAAUUAUUGCAGGUUUUCUCCAUUGGUUAGCGAAAACAUUGCACUACCAUAUACAUGACCAUUAUUACUUCACAUAGUCGCUGUGUAUAUUUUAGUGACCGGUGUCGAUUGUAUUUAUGAUUGGCAACAUUUUGAUCCUAUUUGGAUACUUUGUUUUUCAUGUUUACAAUUGACUGUUUAAGCUAUUAAAUUACAUAGUUUCAUUUUUUUUCUGGCAAAUUACACAUUUGUUGCAAAUUGAGGGGGGUUUUUAACAUUUACAUAUGUAAGGCAAAACUGACCACCUUGUACUCCAGUCUCUGAUUUUUUUUUUGUAGAAGUAGAUUUGUUUGCUUAGCGCCCUUUGCUUGUAGCAUAAAUAUGUGGCUUGAGCUUGCUCCUCCCCAAGUAAGAAGUGGUAGUGAGAAACGUUGUGUAAUGUGUGGUGAUGGUGUGGAUAAAUUGUGCGUUUAUAAGUUUUCUUUUUCUUUGUGAAACUGAGACUGGCGUUUUUGUGGAAAUUUAUAAAAUUUAAGGGGGGUUGCUCGUUUGAUUAGUUAACCUGUGAUUAAUUUUAAAUUAGUGCAAUCAAAUUUAAAUUGUGAUUUGUGAACAAGCACUGCAUCUGACUUCGAAAGGUAGGAAGGGGGGAGCGGGUAGAAACUAAAAUGUAGAACGUUUCCCGUUUGGAAGGGUCAGUUUUACUACAUUUUGGUUUUAAAAUUGGAGACUGAAUGUCUCGGUGUUCAUUAACCCGCUUUUUAAUUUUGUUAAUUUUUUCUUAUUUGUAUCCUAAAAGUUUCGCCAUACAUAUGCUAAUGUUGUAGUGGGAUUAGUAGUUUAUAUUUAAUAUUAAAAUUUACAAAAGGUACACUGUUAAUUAAGCUUGUUAAAUAUGACAUAUCAUUUAUUUUACUUAAUAGUGUGCCUUUUACUCUACAUGGUAUACAUAAUGUUGGCCUUCUAGUACUCUUAUCUUUGAGCUAACAUACGUUUACAAUGUAUUAUAUUUUAUUACAUUGUGCAUGCUCUAUAGUAUUUUAACAUGUUUUAUGCUAUUUUAGCACGUGAUAAAUUGUAUUAAAAAACGAAACUAGAACUGUGAUCGUGACCACAUUUGUAGUUGCAUAUAGUUAUAUUCAACGAGGUACUGUUUGCUGGCACAACAUUUAAUUAAAUUGGUGUGCCAUCAAAAUUUCUCAUAAAUUAACGUAUUUAAUUUAAGAGAAUUAAUCUUCAUGUUAGCAUUUAAUAGUAGUUGUACAAGUUUUUGCACAAUGAGGUAGUUGUGUGGUAUCAGAUUUUUUGAUUUCUGUACACAUUUGUGAUGUUAGUAGUGAAAUUAACUUCUCCAAGAAAUUUUUUGUUACAUCCGUUUGGUGUAACAAAAAAGACAUUGCACUUUUAAUUCUACACAACUUUGUGUUGAAUUCUCAUUACUAUUUAAUGAAUCCAUUCAAUCUGUAGAAUUUAAAACUUCUGUUGCAUUUGUUUGCAGAGGUAAAUAAUUCUUUAGUGAAGAUACCCAAACUUUGUUGGGACCUCCAUGUGUAUUUGAAAUGUAACAGUACAAAUAUUUUUCACCCAAUGCCAUGCAUGGUGGGGAAGUUUGUUUACUUUCAUUACUCAAGUACAAAUGAUACUUGUCAUUUGUAUAUAAUUUUUGCUUUUAUUGGGCGCGAAGAAUGUGAAACCAAUUUGUAGUUCCAUUUAACUUUUUGACUGGAAUGAGGUAAUUUUGGUAAUUUUUUAUUUCAUGCAAUUUUUUUGUAUGGAAUGUGUAAUGAGUAGUUUCUGUUAAUUUGUGUAGUUCCAUCGUUUUUGAUAGGGACGAGGUAAUUUUGACCCUUCCAUAUGAACUUCCAUAUUUUUGGUAGUUCUUAUUUUUGGUUUUUUAAUACCAAGGUUUUGUAUUGGGAGACCUAAGAAGAAAAACACAGGAAAAAAAUUUUUAACUGUGCAUUGUCUGUAGUUCCACCGCUUUUGGUUGGGACGAGGUAACUUGACCUUUAUAAAUGUUUUUGCAGUGUUUUGCUCUUGUCCUCUGGAUACACACCUUUUGUGUUUGUGGUCAAGAGAAAAAAAAUCACGCAUAUAUUGUAAUUCCACCUUCUUGGUUGGGAUGAGGUAAUCUAUUUUUUUAAUAAUUGUUUUGCAUUAAUUUGUGGCAAGUUACUUUAAACUAAAAGCCAGGCAUUCCUUGCUUUUAGUAGUCUCCCAUGAUUUGUGUGGAGCAAGGUAAUUUUUUCCUAAUUUGCAAUGGUAUUGCGUGGACAAGUAGAAAGCAGAGGUAGUUACGUAUAACUGGUGGGAUGAGGUACAUACUUUUUGUUGUUCCUAAUUCUGUCAAGUGUAUAGGAAUAAGGUAAGUCUUCCCUUUUGUGGGAAACUGUUUUCAUUGUGUAUUUCAUUUUUAUUGGUUUUUUAUUGUAAAUAUUUUCGUAACGUUGCUAUUGAAACUAUGAAGAAAAUUAACAGUGCGCCUUUACUUUUUUUUAGUGCUUUUUUCGUCAUUAUACAUUUCAACAUUUUUUUGUUGAAAUUGUUUUAUAUAAAACCCCAAUUAUAAAUACCUGAAGGUUUCAAGCAUUGUAGAUAUUUGUAGUUCCAUUCUAUUGUUUGUGGAUUGGAAUGAGGUAUAGGUAUCUUUGGCUAUUUUUUGUGCAACUUUACCUGUGUUAUUUUAGUACUGCUUGCAUCAUUUCCAAACAAAUUAUAAAACUAAAAAUCACGCCACUUGCUCACAGUAAUUUGUUGUUUUCAUUACCCACUUUCUAUUUGGAAUAGUGGAAUUUACAAUUUAGGUAUGUUUUUAGUUGAUACACACAUUCGAAGUGUAUGUUCUAAUUUUCUCUACAUUGCAACCUUAUCAAUUUUGUUCAUUUGAUAGUUUGUGUCUUCCUUACACUUGAUCGCAAAAUACAUCUGACUGCUUAGACUAGUGUGUAAUCUCUACUGGUUGAAAUAAUCGUCUACUUAGUGGGCGGGCUCAAAUAAGCAAAUCAGUGUGGAGUGAUGGGACUGCUAGGGUGUUACUCCCCUUAAUGCGAAUUAAAAACUAAUCAGUUUAACAUUGGACGACAGCGACAAGAUAAUAUUAUGCAAUGACUAUAAUACGUGUCCUUUCGGAAAUUUGUUCCUAGGUACACUUUUCGACUAUGUUUAUAGUUGAAAUGUGAUAGCAAGUUUCUGGAAUCUGAACAUGUUUUUUUAUUGUAUCAAUUGGCUGCUGAAAUAAUUAAAACUUCCCAUUUUUCUGUAAUAAUUAAUUAUGAAAGUGUGGUGCUUUUAUUGCUUUUGGUGAUGUGCGAUUUCAUCUCCGAAAGUAAAAAUAAAUUAGGUGUUUGAGCAAUAAGUAAGCAGACCAAUUGUUUUAUCCUUCAAUUAUUUGCUAUAUUUGUUGUUAAUAAAACAAUUGGGCUGGGUGGUGGUGGGACUUACUUUAAUAAACAUAAUUGAAUUUAAAUACACUCUAAACGCAAAACCUUUAAAAUAUCUACGAGUACAUUCCCACAUGGAGUAGAGCCUUUGCCACAAUUCCAAUUUGGGAGAAGAAAUCAACUGCUUUGGGCCACAGACCAGUAAUCCGAAUUGUACGCACUCUGUUCCCGGGUUCCAUGAAAUUCGCAAUCAACCAGCAGACAACUACGAGGUGUUCAUUGAAGACCAGUCAAGGAAUCGCGGAUUAAAGGUUUGGAAGCUCUUAAAAUGGUGCGGCCAAUGAUGUUCCACAGCAGUGAUUUCCUGUAAUAAUUACAUGGAUUUUAAAUUAUAUACUAAAUCAUUCUUAAAAAUAAAGUUUAAAUUUGCUUUUUA